rnacentral:rRNA from 1 species
GAUGAACGCUGGCGGCGUGCCUAACACAUGCAAGUCGAGCGAUCUCUUCGGAGAGAGCGGCGGACGGGUGAGUAACGCGUGGGUAACCUGCCCUGUACACACGGAUAACAUACCGAAAGGUAUGCUAAUACGGGAUAAUAUAUAAAAGUCGCAUGGCUUUUAUAUCAAAGCUUUUGCGGUACAGGAUGGACCCGCGUCUGAUUAGCUAGUUGGUAAGGUAACGGCUUACCAAGGCGACGAUCAGUAGCCGACCUGAGAGGGUGAUCGGCCACACUGGAACUGAGACACGGUCCAGACUCCUACGGGAGGCAGCAGUGGGGAAUAUUGCACAAUGGGCGAAAGCCUGAUGCAGCAACGCCGCGUGAGCGAUGAAGGCCUUCGGGUCGUAAAGCUCUGUCCUCAAGGAAGAUAAUGACGGUACUUGAGGAGGAAGCCCCGGCUAACUACGUGCCAGCAGCCGCAGUAA